GAAAGUACUAUUUUUUAGUGCUCCUAAUGUAUCUAAUAAUUAGGCUAACAAAACGGUUCAUGCAAGCAGGACAUUAAAUGAAACGGUGCAUUGCACUAAUAAAAACAAGGCGCAACUAGAACUCUCUAAGGAUUGCAGAACCGUGUAAAAACAAUCAUCUAUAAAACAUUUAAUAUGACAAUGAUAACUUUCUAAUUUCCCUUGAAAAAAUAUGUGAAUAUCUAAUUCAAAUCAGACAAAAUUAGCAGCUUUUAGCUGUGAUCAAAUCCUCCAAUUACAAAUGAUUCCCAAAUUCCUUUCUUCAUGGGUACAUAUUCCAACCCCAUGAUAAACAUCCCAAAUGUCUAUACAAAAUAAAAAAUAAGCUCAAUAAUUGAACAUUCAUAGAUUGGAUUUGUUAACAAUCAAAAGAGAACACAUGAAACCCAAAAUAAAAAUUGAAACCUAAGCCAUAGCAAACCUUGAUAUCCAGAUGCAAGUAUAAUACCGGAGCAUCUUCCCCCUGCCGA
rnacentral:misc_RNA from 1 species